GACAAACGCUGGCGGCAUGCCUAACACAUGCAAGUCGAACGGACAGAACAGGGUAGCUUUUCGGUGUGGAACUGGACGGUUAGUGGCGGAUGGGUUGGUAACGCGUGGACAACCUACCUUGUAAAGGGGAAUAACCUCGAUAAAUGGAAGCUAAUACCCCAUAAUAAACUUUCUUAGCAUGAAUUAAGUGUGGGAUGCGGCCUUAGCGCUGUCGCUUGAAGGUGGGUCCGCGUCUUAUUAGCUCGGUGGCGAGGUAAAGGCUUACCAAGGCGACGAUCAGUAGCCGGCGUGAGGGGGUGAACGGCCACAGUGGGACUGAGACACGGCCCAAAGACCGAGGGGAGGCAGCAGUGGGGAAUGUUCGGAAAUGGGCGAAAUACUGAAGGAGCAAUGCAGCGUGAGUGAAGAAGGGCUUCGGGUUGUAAAACUCUGUUCUUAUCGAAGAGAGAGUGUUGUAGUAACUGAGCAUACUAGGACGGUAGAUGAGGAGGAAGCACCGGCUAACUAUGUG
rnacentral:rRNA from 1 species